UAAGUGAUCCUGGUCCUUUUUUUCAUGUAUCCAGCUGCUUAUCCUGGCUGUGUGUUACCUGUACCUCACAUGCCGCAGUCACUUUCAUAGAAGACACUCUGGUAGACUUUUACUCAGUCAGACACCAAGUCAGGAAGACAGGUUUGACGAUAUUACAGAAAUCCUGGACGACUCUCUGCCGGGGCCAGUAUCUGCAGAUAACUUAUCUACUCUGGAGCAGGACGC
rnacentral:misc_RNA from 1 species